UAAGGAUUCAAAAAGGGUUGCAACUGCCCGCAACAAGACCAGCUCGUCGGGAUCAGAGAUGUGCAGCGGAAGGAUGAAAAAUGAAACACCAGUAGUUUUGCUACACUGUGGGAAACAGGAUCAUGUGGAGACUACGAAAGCCAGAGAUUCCAAAUGAAAUGUUGUCCAUAGGAGCGAGAACAACAUGUGGAACAGCGAGGACUAGUGGAGGACACGACACCUACUGUACUCCACGGUGCACUGAAGCGCAGGGCAACAAAAAUACCUGGCCUGUGUGCAAAAGAGGACUGAGAACACUCCAGCAGACCACUGACAGGAGAGAAGACGGGACUGUGGAGGCGCCGCCUUUCCAUGAAACCUGGAACCACUUCUAGAUCCUCACAGCUGCUGGGGCAGACCUGUUUGAACCACCCUCAGCCACCGACACUUCCUGUUGUUGUUCCUGGUUGUUCCCUGGAGUUCGGUGAGUCUCUCUCAUUUUCUUGUUGCCUCCAGUUUCUUCUAGAAACGUGGACGUUACUUUAAUAGCAUCAUCAUUUAGAAUUAUUCAAAACAGCUCGACUGUCAUUAUUACCCCCUAUUGGCCACAUUAUUCAUAGGGUGACACUUUCCCUAACCUUUGCGGGUUCCAUUCAUUGGUUAUUAAAACAAAAUUAUAUGAAAAAAGAGAAUAAUUCUUUAAUUUCCCACUGUUCAUCCAAGGGAUAUGUUUUUUUCACGCACUAGUGACUUUUUACAGCUGUCAUUCCCUAAGAGAAUAACACAUUUGUGAUUCUCAACAUGAACAUUUAAAUAUAGUAUAUAAUCACAUUGCAGUAACACAUUGUAACAUUGCACUGGAAGGGAUGAAUGAGUUAUUUUGAACAAAAAUGUGUUUCCCAAAGGCCACGAAGCUGGGAUAUCCAGACUGGAAAAGCAUUGUAAACAAAACAAGGCUGUAGUCCAACAACCAUUAUAAAAACCUGGUAUCCACUAUCUUAAAGUGGAUUUCUUCACAUAUAGAAAACACCUAGCAAAGAUCUAGUGUACAAAAAGUGUAGGAAAAGUAUCAGUUUGAAAUUGAAGAGCAGUCACCAAAAAUAACAGAGGUAAAGGCAGCAAAAAACAAACAAACAAACAAACA